UACGUAGGGUGCGAGCGUUAAUCGGAAUUACUGGGCGUAAAGCGUGCGCAGGCGGUUUUGUAAGCCAGAUGUGAAAUCCCCGGGCUUAACCUGGGAAUGGCAUUUGGGACUGCAAGGCUUGAGUGCGGCAGAGGAGACUGGAAUUCCUGGUGUAGCAGUGAAAUGCGUAGAUAUCAGGAGGAACACCGAUGGCGAAGGCAGGUCUCUGGGCUGACACUGACGCUCAUGCAC
rnacentral:rRNA from 1 species